UAGGUAUGUGCAAACCGUACAUCUUGGCU
rnacentral:sRNA from 1 species